rnacentral:rRNA from 1 species
CAGCCGCCGCGGGAAUACAGAGGGUGCGAGCGUUAAUCGGAUUUACUGGGCGUAAAGCGUGCGUAGGCGGCUUCUUAAGUCGGAUGUGAAAUCCCUGAGCUUAACUUAGGAAUUGCAUUCGAUACUGGGAAGCUAGAGUAUGGGAGAGGAUGGUAGAAUUCCAGGUGUAGCGGUGAAAUGCGUAGAGAUCUGGAGGAAUACCGAUGGCGAAGGCAGCCAUCUGGCCUAAUACUGACGCUGAGGUACGAAAGCAUGGGGAGCAAACAGGAUUAGAUACCCCCGUAGUCCCUGUCUCUUACAC